CCGAUCUUAGCUCAGUUGGAAGAGCGCGAGACUGUAAUUGGUUACCCACAACUCAAAAUCAUAUCUCGAGGCCACUUGUUCGAACCAGGUAGAUCGGA